CCUACUUUUCUUGGCAGGUCUGGGCAACGAAGUGUCCAGGUCUGUUAUUUUAGGGAUAGAAGAAAGCCCACCCAGCGUUCUCUCUCUGGUGAGAGCAGCUUCUCAGUUUUCUGGUUCGGCCCUCAAGCAUUGGAACAGCA